rnacentral:rRNA from 1 species
AUACGGAGGGUGCGAGCGUUAAUCGGAAUUACUGGGCGUAAAGAGUGCGUAGGCGGCUCGUUAAGUCAGAUGUGAAAGCCCUGGGCUCAACCUGGGAACUGCAUUUGAAACUGGCGAGCUAGAGUUGAGUAGAGGUAAGUGGAAUUUCAGGUGUAGCGGUGAAAUGCGUAGAUAUCUGAAGGAACACCAGUGGCGAAGGCGACUUACUGGACUCAAACUGACGCUGAGGUACGAAAGCGUGGGUAGCAAACAGGAUUAGAUACCCUGGUAGUCCACGCCGUAAACGAUGUCAACUAGCCGUUGGUCCUAUAUACAGGAUUAGUGGCGCAGCUAACGCAUUAAGUUGACCGCCUGGGGAGUACGGCCGCAAGGUUAAA